AGUGCACCAGUAGGUGUUCCCCCUUCCCCUCUUUUGAACUCAUAUUUUUUAGAUCGUGACUUUGCAAACAUGGAGUAACUCUUCAUUUAUGCCUAUUUUGUUCAGCAUGAUGUAACUUUUACAUUGCCCCUGACCCAAGUUCUGUCAAUGUGGUAUUAUAACAAUUCUGACACAUUAAAAAUCUUAUUGUAUGUUGUAGUUCAUUAAGGCUCAAUCUUUAUCAAGGAAGUAUAAACUGCUUAUUAUUUUUUUUGAUUUCACCACUACUUUCUCUUAAUAUAUUGCAAAGCAAUUUUGAGCAGCUUCUAUUGAAUAAAGAAUACUAUAAUGGAGUACUAUAAUGGCUUCGUGCCUAGGACCGUCACAGAUGUAUAUCCAGGGUAUGAGAAUGACGCAUUAAAACAAAAAAUGCUUGAGCAUGAAGCCACUUUUAAGAAUCAGUUAUGUACAUUCUUAAAUGUUUGUGCUCUUCUGUGACACCCCAAAAAUAGGUAUACAUUACCCAUCUUGAGUCGCCAAAUACAUGGUACAAAAUUCAAAUACAACUUAAUUAUACAACAGUCGUGUAAAAUACGAUAAAACAUAUACUGUGAGUUUUAAUACAAAUAUUAUUAUCUAGACAAUAUUCACACUCAAUUGAGUCCUCAUUACAUUUAUUAUCACAUAAUUUAACAGAAUAGUGAGGACUACUAAUGCUAUUAUCUGGACCGUCACUCCGUUUCCCGACUAGUCCUUGAUACGUUCUCAUUUCCUGAGGUGAACAAUGAAAGUAAAAUGGUGAGCUCAACUAGCCCAGUAAGAAAUAUUAUGACUAAGAUAAUACAUAAUAAAUUAUCGUUAGCCUUCAACAGUGUUAAACUGAUAUAAUAUAACAAACAUCAAGUUUAACUGCAGUGGAACAAGCAAUCCAUUAAAAGAGUCAAGUAAAGAAUAAAAUCUACUAUCUUUUAUGGUUUAAAAGGUUUUUCAUCACUUUUAUCGCUGGGACACAGCUUAAUAAAUAAUCCACAUCAUCCCUGCACUACGACCAAGUAUAUUCAUUAGUAUCACAACCACAAAUUAUCCAUGCACUACGGGCCAAGGAUAUUCGUGUAUUCAUCAAUGGUCAUGAUCAUGCCAACAACUGUCCAUCAAUGCACUACGGGACAAUAAGGACUUUUACCACAUCAUUUGUAACAUUACG
rnacentral:lncRNA from 1 species